GGGGAAAAAUUAAUAAUAAGGUAAAAAAAUUAAUAAAAAAAAUUUUAAUAUAAAAAUAUUUAAUGGGGGUUAAAGUAUUUUUUAUAGAAAAAAUUUAAAUUUUUAUAGUUAAUUAGUAUUGUGAGGGAAGUUUGAAAUAAUAAUGAAAAGAAAUUUAUUAAAAAGUAAAUUUAAAUUAUUGUAUCUUGUGUAUCAGAGUUUAUUUAAUAAGAUUUAUAUUAUAAAUUUCUCGAAUUUAAAAGAGUUAAUUAAUUAAUAAAUUUAUUGUUUCAUAAAUAUUUUAAAUAAUUAAUUAGAAAUGAAAUGUUAUUCGUUUUUAAAUAUAUCUAGUUUUUUUAGAAAAAAAUUAAAUUUUAAGUUAAAUUAAAAAAUUAAUUAAUUUUUUAAUUAAUUUUUUAAUUUAAUUAAAUAUUUUAAGGGAUAAGCUUUAAAUUAGAUUUUUAUAAUAAAUAAAUUAAUAUUUUGAAAAUUUUAUGAUUUAUAUUGUUAAUAAAUUUUAAUUUAUUAUAAAUAAUUUCAAUAAAAAUUUAAAAUUUAAAUAAAAUUUAAUUUUUUAUAAAAAAAUAAGAUAAAAUUAUAUAUUUUUAAUUAUAAUGAUAAAAUUAGUAAAUAUGAGUAGAAUUAAUUUGUAUUAAAUUAUAUGAAAAAUAUUUUAAAGGAAUUCGACAAAUAUAUAUAUUUACCUGUUUAACAAAAACAUGUCUUUUUGAUAAUAAUUUAAAGUCUAAUCUGCCCACUGAUAAUAUAAUUAAAGGGCUGCAGUAUUUUGACUGUACAAAGGUAGCAUAAUCAAUAGUCUCUUAAUUGGUGACUUGUAUGAAGGAUUGGAUAAAAUAUAAAUUGUCUCUAAAAUAUUUUAUUGAAUUUAAUUUUUUAAUUAAAAAGUUAAAAUAAUUUAAAAAGACGAGAAGACCCUAUAGAGUUUUAUAUUUUAUUAAUAUAAUUUAUAAAUUAAUUGGAAUGAUUUUAUAUUAAAAAAAUUAUUUUAUUGGGGUGAUAGAAAAAUUAAAAUAACUUUUUUUGAAAUUUAACAUAAAUAGGUGAAUAAUUGAUCCAUUAAUAUUGAUUAUAAGAAAAAAUUACCUUAGGGAUAACAGCGUAAUUUUUUUUUUUAGUUCAUAUAAAAAAAAGAGUUUGCGACCUCGAUGUUGGAUUAAGAUAAAAUUUAAAUGCAAAAGUUUAAAAUUUUUGAUCUGUUCGAUCAUUAAAAUCUUACAUGAUCUGAGUUCAAACCGGUGUAAGCCAGGUUGGUUUCUAUCUUUUAAUAAAAAAUAAUAUUUUAGUACGAAAGGAUCAAAUAUUAUAAUUAAAUUAAUUUAAUUUUGAGUGUCAUUAAAGUUAUAAUAAAAUUAUAACUAUUUUGGCAGAAAAAUGU
rnacentral:rRNA from 1 species